GAGAAGACUGGGAAUGGGCAAGAUUUGCUUCAGAAACAACUGACGGGUAUCAAAGAAGAAAACUAUAAUUGCAAGAUACUUACUUUUACAAGAAGAUCAUCCACACGAACCAGGUUUGGAUAGAGAAGUUUCAGCAACUUUUUAACAGUGAUUCAGGGUAAAUCAUCCUUCCACUCAAACGAUGCUGGACAGCAUAGAGAUUUCUGUAUUCUCUGAGGGCUUUGACAAUCCUACUUUGAACAGCAUUUCGAGCAUCUUCCAGCUUAUAGGACAAAGAUUUCUCAAUUGCUGCGCCAGGUUGUUUUAAAUUCGAAGCCAGAUUAGUCUACUAAAAUCAAUUAAAGGAAGACGGAUCCAUCCUCUCAUUUUACUUUACAGCCUAGCAGAUGAGGGGCGCUUGCUGAGACAUAUGGAGAGAAGAAAUUCUUACCUAGCCUUGAAAACAAAGAAACAAUUGCCCCUAUGUCAGCCAGGCGAUACAUUUCUCCUAGAUCUGUAACAACUGGAGCUGCCGCGGUAUGUACCCUGAUACGCCUUUCUCCAGACGAGGAUGUGUAUCUUCGCAGAGGUUAAGGAACUUCUGUCAACUAUCUUCAAAACUUUAAUUUCAUGAGAUAAUUGCAAAAGGCCGUAACAAGAUGAAGGUGGAAGACCCAGAACUUCAGAAAGGCGAAUGGGUAGUUAUAUUAAUCACUUCCAAUUACCAGAAAGGAAACACUUUGAAGCAACAACUGGAAAAGUUAUAUAAGCAAACAUAAAUUCGGAAGAUUACAUCAGCUAAAUUCACAAAAGUCUAGCACAUCCAAGUAUAACUAUGUAAAUAAAUAAAGAUUAAAAUGAGAUGAGGAUACAACAGAG